rnacentral:rRNA from 1 species
CGGUCUGCCUGCGCUUAGUUGCGCGGCGGUAUUGAGCAUCUGUUAACAGUCUAUCUAACCAACACACGUGUAGUUUCUACUAUAUGCUAUUCUUCCUGGGCUCUAACUGCCCAGGGAUAAACACAAACAAAAAUUUUGAAAACUAGUCAAUUCUAUUUCAUAAGAAAUAAAAUAUUCAAAACUUUCAACAAUGGAUCUCUUGGUUCUCGCAUCGAUGAAGAACGCAGCGAAUUGCGAUAAGUAUUGUGAAUUGCAGAUUUUCGUGAAUCAUCGAAUCUUUGAACGCAUAUUGCGCCCACUGGUAUUCCAGUGGGCAUGCCUGUUUGAGCGUCAUUUCCUUCUCAAACCUUCGGUUUGGUAGUGAGUGAUACUCGGUCGUAAGACAAGGUUAACUUGAAAAUGCUGGCCAUGGGCGGAGCUUGCACGGACUGCGGUCUUAGCUAGCUUUUACACUGCGUAUUAGGUUUCGACCGGAUCGUGGAGUAUAAGUUGGCGUUUGAGGAACGUAUGGACAAACAAGACCUCUCAGGCGAAUAGUAUUCCUAAAGUUUGACCUCAAAUCAGGUAGGAUUACCCGCUGAACUUAAGCAUAUCAAUAAGCGGAG